rnacentral:lncRNA from 1 species
CGGUUUUUAAGUUCAGUUUUAAAUUUUUUAAUUGAUUCCACAUCAUGAGUUGAAUCAUCAAGAUUAUUUCAAGACGUAUGGUUGAUGGGAUAAAAAAAAUCAUUAGUUAAUGCUAGUCUGCAGAAUAGAAAAUGAGCUUGAUCGUGUUGAUAUACAUAUUAGUCAGAUAAAUGUCAUGCAACUUUGCAAGGGUAGCAGUUGUAAUACGGGC